rnacentral:rRNA from 1 species
UAUCUUCUAGAGCUAAUACAUGCAGGUUAGCCCGACUUCUCGGAAGGGCUGUAUUUAUUAGAUAACAGACCAAUAUUCCUCGUGUCUAUUGUGGUGACUCAUAGUAACUGAUCGGAUCGCAUGGACUUGUUCCGCGAUAAACCAUUCAAGUUUCUGACCCAUCAGCUUUCGAUGGUAGUGUAUUGGACUACCAUGGCUUUCACGGGUAACGGAGGAUUAGGGUUCGAUUCCGGAGAGGGAGCCUGAGAAACGGCUACCACAUCUAAGGAAGGCAGCAGGCGCGUAAAUUACCCAAUCCUGACUCAGGGAGGUAGUGACAAGAAAUAACGGGUCGGGGCAUUUGCCUCGGGAUU